UACGAAGGGGGCUAGCGUUGUUCGGAAUCACUGGGCGUAAAGCGCACGUAGGCGGAUCCUUAUGUCAGGGGUGAAAUCCCGAGGCUCAACCUCGGAACUGCCUUUGAUACUGGGGAUCUCGAGUCCGGAAGAGGUAAGUGGAACUGCGAGUGUAGAGGUGAAAUUCGUAGAUAUUCGCAAGAACACCAGUGGCGAAGGCGGCUUACUGGUCCGGAACUGACGCUGAGGUGCGAAAGCGUGGGGAGCAAACAGG
rnacentral:rRNA from 1 species